rnacentral:rRNA from 1 species
GAUGAACGCUAGCGGCAGGCUUAACACAUGCAAGUCGAGGGGUAUAGUUCUUCGGAGCUAGAGACCGGCGCACGGGUGCGUAACGCGUAUGCAAUCUACCUUUUGCAGAGGGAUAGCCCAGAGAAAUUUGGAUUAAUACCUCAUGGUAUGUGAGAAUGGCAUCAUUUUCACAUUAAAGUCACAACGGCAAAAGAUGAGCAUGCGUCCCAUUAGCUAGCUGGUAAGGUAACGGCUUACCAAGGCAACGAUGGGUAGGGGUCCUGAGAGGGAGAUCCCCCACACUGGUACUGAGACACGGAUCAGACUCCUACGGGAGGCAGCAGUGAGGAAUAUUGGACAAUGGGCGCAAGCCUGAUCCAGCCAUGCCGCGUGCAGGAUGACGGUCCUAUGGAUUGUAAACUGCUUUUGUACAGGAAGAAACACUGGUUCGUGAACCAGCUUGACGGUACUGUAAGAAUAAGGAUCGGCUAACUCCGUGCCAGCCGCCGCAGUAAUAC